CCAAAGGUCCUUCUCAGGGCCACCCACAUCUUCCUCAAAGGGCAA
rnacentral:ncRNA from 1 species